ensembl:lncRNA
GCAAAGGCAGGGCCAGUUGGAUCUCUGUGUAUUUGUGACCAUCUGAUUCUAUGAAGCAAGUUCCAAGACAGCCUGAAGCAUUAUAAUGAGAACCCAUUUUGAACACCCUCCCAAAGAAAGAGGAGUUGCAAGGAUCCUGGACGGAGAAGACAUUUGAAGUCACGUCCUUGAAGUAAAGCUUCAGUUACAAGCAGUGUACUGGAAAAGUUGGGAGAGCCUGCUGAUAUCCAGAGUGAUUUGGCCACUAAAUCUCCUAUGUAGAUGAUCUGGUUCAGGAACAAAUGUGCAAAGCACACUCUGAAAGUCCAAAAAGGAGCAGCCUGAAAUACACAUACAUCCUGCAGCUGGCGUUGGGUAUGACACAACCUGAGGCUACUUAUCUAUCACUGCCUCUGCUGAAGCCCUGGAGAGUCUGGGAGAAUGAGAGCACAUGUAGAACCAUGGGCAACAAGGCUUCCUUGAGAACCUGAGGACACCUGAAGACCUGCUUCCAUUUUACUGUUUCCUGGUGCUUGGAGAGCCGGUUACUGUGGGGGAGCUGGAUGCAUUCCAAGACUUAGCUCCACUGGUUUCGUGGGUGUGCAACAAAACAUAGGUUCCUUGUAGGGCCUGGUUGCACUUGGAGGCUUGGUUGCACUGGGACCUGUGGAGUACUAUGGGAUCUGGGUUCCUGAGUGGCUCUUGAGGAAUUUUAAAACAUGGAGCCUAGCAGUGUGAAGGAACCCUACUCAGAAGUUACAAGUUCCAGGUUCUCUCUCCUUCCCCUGGUGCUCUAUGUCUCUAACAAGGGAGGAAAGGCACCCUGGGUCAGGCAAGACCAAAUAACCCCUCCUCACCCUCACCAUCUACCUAGGAGCUUUAGUGGCCAAAUCACCCUGGAUAUCGGCAGGCUCUCCCAACUUUUCCAGUACACUGCUUGUGACUGAAGCUUUUUUUCAAGGACGUGGCUUCAAAUGUCUUUCCAUCUAGAAUCCUUCCAGCUCCUCUUUCUUUGGGAGUGUGUUCAAGAUGGGUUUCUCAUUUUAAUUCUUCCGGCUGUAGUAUUUGCUUCAUAGACUCAGAUGGUCACAAAUACACCUGGCCUUGCCUUUUAUACCCCCUGUGCUAGAUACUUUUAUAUCAAGUUGACACAAAGUGAGGAGCAUAUUCUUAGUGAUUUGAGAGAGGGCCAGCCACAAGAUAUGGGAUAGCAGGCUCUGCACAACACAAGGGCAGCACAAUAGAUCCAACUCUGUUAGUAGAAGUAUUGGUGAGCCAUCCCCAAAAUUGAGAGCAUAGAACAGCUCCAGUGGACCAACCCUACACCUGCCCAGUCCCAGUAGCAGGCUUGUGACUUGGCCUGCACCAACAACUACACCAUCAGUGGUCUGCAGGAGCAUACGAAGGGACCUGGUCCUCAGACCCAAACAGAGUGCAGUGGGUGUCCCGAGAGAGUCCUAGUGGAGGCCCCAGCAUCAAAUCAGACCAAUGAUCCUUUGUAAUGAACACUUGCAAGUAGACAUAUACCAGCCAAGGAGUAUAGGGCAUGACUUGUUGGGUAACGCUGAAGCUUCCAUGAUGAUUUUUAAUUCCUUCCAUUAAAACAAAAUUAUUUACUUUUUUUCAUUUGAAUUUUGUUUUAUUCAGGGAGGGGAGUGAAGGUGCAGAGGGUAGCUGUGAAGGGACAAGUAAUGAAUGGGAUCAAGAUACACGAUGUGAAAACACAUAGAAUAAAUUUUAAUAAGAAAAGGAAUUUGGAGCUAAAACCAUCUGGCCCUAACCUUCUUUUGGUUUGGAGACUUUCAUGGCUGUUUCUAUUUCCUUAGGGAUUAUAGGUCUGCUUAAAUUGCUUAUAUGAUUAUGAUUUAACUUUAAUACCUAUUAUCUAUUAAGAAAAUUACCCAUGUAUGUUUGAAUUUCCAAUAUGGUAGAGUGUACAUUAUUAAUAUAUAUCUUCCAAUUCUCUAGAUGUCCUUAGGGUCUCUUAUGUCCCCUUUUUCAUUUCUGAUUUUGUUGAUUUGGAUGGUCUCUUCUGCCUUUUCAAUAAUUUGGAAAGUUGGUUUGUCUCUUGUUUUCACAGGAAAAAUUAAGUGUGUGUGUGUGUGUGUGUGUGUGUGUGUGUAGGUACUUAGUGCUAUGUACUUGACUUUUUGAAUCACUGUCACUGUGUCACAUAAGUUUGUCUUUGAUCAGAAAACACAUGAGGCCUCACACCAUCUGCAAUGAGAUCCACUGCCCUCUUCUGGCCUGAAAGCAGACGUGCAGACAAAAC